UUGCACACGUGUACUGUGUCUUGGGAUGC
rnacentral:piRNA from 1 species